UUCUUUUCUUGUGUCUAAAAAGUAAGACCUGCCCACUGAUGAAUUGAAGGGCCGCAGUAUUUUGACUGUGCUAAGGUAGCGUAAUCAUUAGUCUCUUAAUUAGGGAAUAGUAUGAACGGUUAAACAGGCAAUUAUUUUAUCUGUUAAACAAAAAUGAAUUUGAAUUUUAAGUGAAAAUGCUUAACUUUUCUUAUUAGACGAUAAGACCCUAUAGAGGUUAAAUAGCAAGGCACUUAAGGAAUUUGGGGGGAUUUCUUAAAUGCCUUGCUAUUUUAAUUGGGGCAAUUAGAGAAUAUAAAUAACUUCUUUAAAUUAUUUUACGAAUUAAAAUUUGAUCUUAAAUUUUAAAACUAAAAAGUUACCUUAGGGAUAACAGCGUAAUAUUUUUGGAGAGACCAUAUCGAUAAAAAUGUUUGCGACCUCGAUGUUGAAUUAAAAUAUCUCGUUAGGGCAGUAUUUAACCAAGAGAGUCUGUUCGACUUUUAAAUUUUU
rnacentral:rRNA from 1 species